rnacentral:rRNA from 1 species
UACGUAGGGUGCGAGCGUUAAUCGGAAUUACUGGGCGUAAAGCGUGCGCAGGCGGCUUUGCAAGACAGAGGUGAAAUCCCCGGGCUCAACCUGGGAACUGCCUUUGUGACUGCAAGGCUAAGUACGGCAGAGGGGGAUGGAAUCCGCGUGUAGCAGUGAAAUGCGUAGAUAUGCGGAGGAACACCGAUGGCGAAGGCAAUCCCCUGGGCCUGUACUGACGCUCAUGCACGAAAGCGUGGGGAGCAAACAGGAUUAGAUACCCUGGUAGUCAAGGGCG